rnacentral:rRNA from 1 species
UACGAAGGGGGCAAGCGUUGUUCGGAAUUAUUGGGCGUAAAGAGCUCGUAGGCGGUUUGUCGCGUCUGCUGUGAAAACCCGAGGCUCAACCUCGGGCCUGCAGUGGGUACGGGCAGACUAGAGUGCGGUAGGGGAGAUUGGAAUUCCUGGUGUAGCGGUGGAAUGCGCAGAUAUCAGGAGGAACACCAAUGGCGAAGGCAGAUCUCUGGGCCGUAACUGACGCUGAGGAGCGAAAGCAUGGGGAGCGAACAGG